UCCUACGGGAGGCAGCAGUGGGGAAUGCCGCGUGAGGGAUGACGGCCUUCGGGUAAGCACCGGCUAACUACGUGCCAGCAGCCGCGGUAAUACGUAGGGUGCGAGCGUUGUCCGGAAUUAUUGGGCGUAAAGAGCUUGUAGGCGGUUUGUCGCGUCUGCUGUGAAAAUCCGGGGCUCAACCCCGGACCUGCAGUGGGUACGGGCAGACUAGAGUAUGGUAGGGGAGACUGGAAUUCCUGGUGUAGCGGUGAAAUGCGCAGAUAUCAGGAGGAACACCGAUGGCGAAGGCAGGUCUCUGGGCCAUUACUGACGCUGAGAAGCGAAAGCGUGGGGAGCAAACAGGAUUAGAUACCCUGGUAGUCCACGCCGUAAACGUUGGGCGCUAGGUGUGGGACCCUUUUCACGGGUUCUGUGCCGCAGCUAACGCAUUAAGCGCCCCGCCUGGGGAGUACG
rnacentral:rRNA from 1 species